CACUUCUAAGGAAGGCAGCAGGCGCGCAAAUUACCCAAUCCUGACUCAGGGAGGUAGUGACAAGAAAUAACAAUAAACCGGCUUAUGCCGGUUUAAUUGGAAUGAGUACAAUUUAAACAUCUUAACGAGGAACAAUUGGAGGGCAAGUCUGGUGCCAGCAGCCGCGGUAAUUCCAGCUCCAAUAGCGUAUACUAAAGUUGUUGCAGUUAAAAAGCUCGUAGUUGGAUUUCUGUGGGGACGGAGCGGCCGGCCGCAACACGCGGUUCGAGCUAGCGCUUUCCCUACAUCCUGCCGCGAACCGUGCUACCAUUAGUUUGGUGGCGCCGGGGAUCGGCUCGAUUACUUUGAGAAAAAUAGAGUGUUCAAAGCAGGCCACACGCCUUGAAUAAGUUAGCAUGGAAUAAUAACUAAGGACUUCGGUUCUAUUUUGUUGGUGUUCGGGACUGAAGUAAUGAUUGAUAGGGACAGUUGGGGCGGUCUGUAUUCCAAAGCGAGAGGUGAAAUUCUUAGACCUUCGGAAGACAAACAGCUGCGAAAGCGUUCCGCAAGGAUGUUCCCUUUGAUCAAGAACGAAAGUUGGGGGAUCGAAGACGAUCAGAUACCGUCGUAGUCUCAACUAUAAACUAUACCAGCUAGGGAUCGGCCAACGUUAUUCUAUACCGACUUGGUCGGCACCUUAUGAGAAAUCAAAGCAUCUGGGUUCCGGGGGGAGUAUGGUCGCAAGGCUGAAACUUAAGGGAAUUGACGGAAGGGCACCACCAGCCGUGGAGCCUGUGGCUUAAUUUGACUCAACACGGGAAAACUUACCAGGUCCAGACAUAGUAAGGAUUGACAGAUUGAUAGCUCUUUCUUGAUUCUGUGGGUGGUGGUGCAUGGCCGUUCUUAGUUGGUGGAGUGAUUUGUCUGGUUAAUUCCGUUAACGAACGAGACCCCAGCCUGCUAAAUAGCGCGCGUGAGCUUUGCUCGCGGCGAGCUUCUUAGAGGGACUAUGAUGCGCGAUAGCACAUGGAAGUUUGGGGCAAUAACAGGUCUGUGAUGCCCUUAGAUGUUCUGGGCCGCACACGGGCUACACUGGCGCCUGCAACGAGCAUAUCAGCUGGCCCGAGAGGGUCUUGGCUAAUCUUUUGAACCGGCGCCGUGCUUGGGAUUGACCUUUGCAAUUGUUGGUCAUGCAACGAGGAAUGCCUUGUAAACGCGAGUCAUCAGCUCGCAUUGAAUACGUCCCUGCCCUUUGUACACACCGCCCGUCGCUCCUACCGAUGAAUGUUCCGAUGCACUUUUCGGAGAGCACCUGUGAACUUGGCUCCGCCUUGCGAACGGGAGGCUCAAAGUCACUUAAAUCUGAACAUU
rnacentral:rRNA from 1 species